rnacentral:snoRNA from 1 species
UUGCACUGGGAUGCAAAAGGAAAUUAAUCCCAGCGCUUUCUUUCUAUCUUGGUGACAGCAGGACUGAAUAGAGGAGAACAUUU